rnacentral:rRNA from 1 species
AUUGAACGCUGGCGGGAGGCUUAACACAUGCAAGUCGAACGAGUGGCGGACGGGUGAGUAAUGUCUGGGAAACUGCCUGAUGGAGGGGGAUAACUACUGGAAAAGGUAGCUAAUACCGCAUACCAUCAGAUGUGCCCAGAUGGGAUUAGCUUGUUGGUGGGGUAACGGCUCACCAAGGCGACGAUCCGUAGCUGGUCUGAGAGGAUGACCAGCCACACUGGGACUGAGACACGGUCCAGACUCCUACGGGAGGCAGCAGUGGGGAAUAUUGGACAAUGGGCGCAACCCUGAUCCAGCCAUCCCGCGUGUAUGAAGAAGGCCGUCGGGUUGUAAAGUACUUUUAGCGGGGAGGCGGUACCUGCAGAAUAAGCACCGGCUAACUCCGUGCCAGCAGCCGCGGUAAUUC